GACGAACGCUGGCGGCGUGCUUAACACAUGCAAGUCGAACGGAAAGGCCCUGCUUUUGUGGGGUGCUCGAGUGGCGAACGGGUGAGUAACACGUGAAUAACCUGCCCUUGACUUUGGGAUAACUUCAGGAAACUGGGGCUAAUACCGGAUAGGAGCUCCUGCUGCAUGGUGGGGGUUGGAAAGUUUCGGCGGUUGGGGAUGGACUCGCGGCUUAUCAGCUUGUUGGUGGGGUAGUGGCUUACCAAGGCUUUGACGGGUAGCCGGCCUGAGAGGGUGACCGGCCACAUUGGGACUGAGAUACGGCCCAGACUCCUACGGGAGGCAGCAGUGGGGAAUAUUGCACGAUGGGCGGAAGCCUGAUGCAGCAACGCCGCGUGCGGGAUGACGGCCUUCGGGUUGUAAACCGCUUUCGCCUGUGACGAAGCGUGAGUGACGGUAAUGGGUAAAGAAGCACCGGCUAACUACGUG
rnacentral:rRNA from 1 species